UACGGAGGGUGCAAGCGUUAUCCGGAUUUAUUGGGUUUAAAGGGUGCGUAGGUGGUGUGUCAAGUCUGGUUUGAAAGUUAGCUGCUCAACAGUUAGACGUGGUUGGAAACUGUGAGUCUUGAAUGGGUUGGCGGCUGCCGGAACGUGUCAUGUAGCGGUGAAAUGCAUAGAUAUGACCCAGAACACCGAUUGCGAAGGCAGGCAGCUACGACCUGAUUGACACUGAGGCACGAGAGCAUGGGUAGCGAACAGG
rnacentral:rRNA from 1 species